UACGGAGGGUGCAAGCGUUAUCCGGAUUCACUGGGUUUAAAGGGUGCGUAGGUGGGCAGGUAAGUCAGUGGUGAAAUCUCCGGGCUUAACCCGGAAACUGCCAUUGAUACUAUCUGUCUUGAAUACCGUGGAGGUGAGCGGAAUAUGUCAUGUAGCGGUGAAAUGCUUAGAUAUGACAUAGAACACCAAUUGCGAAGGCAGCUCACUACACGAAUAUUGACACUGAGGCACGAAAGCGUGGGGGAUCAAACAGGA
rnacentral:rRNA from 1 species